rnacentral:rRNA from 1 species
AUUAAACGCUGGCGGCAUGCCUUACACAUGCAAGUCGAACGGCAGCACGGGGGCAACCCUGGUGGCGAGUGGCGGACGGGUGAGUAACACAUCGGAACGUGCCCUGGAGUGGGAGAUAACGCAGCGAAAGCUACGCUAAUACCGCAUAUUCUGUGAGCAGGAAAGCAGGGGAUCGCAAGACCUUGCGCUUUGGGAGCGGCCGAUGUCGGAUUAGCUAGUUGGUGGGGUAAAGGCUUACCAAGGCGACGAUCCGUAGCGGGUCUGAGAGGAUGAUCCGCCACACUGGGACUGAGACACGGCCCAGACUCCUACGGGAGGCAGCAGUGGGGAAUUUUGGACAAUGGGCGGAAGCCUGAUCCAGCCAUGCCGCGUGAGUGAAGAAGGCCUCGGUUGUAAGACGUCUUCGUGGGUAGGAAGUAG